GGCUCAGUUCACCAUUCAUGGCAAAACUCAGUUGUCUCAGAUGAGUGAUCAAAUCAAUCAUCUUUAGGACAUGCAUUUGUAUGGAGGUGCCUUCAGUCAUGUGGGUACGGAACAACUAUAAUAUCUCAUAUCGAGCAAUUUGACUUUGUUCUCCAUAUAACUCCUUAAGGUUAAGGAGAACAGAGGAAAGAUCCAUGUCCUCAUGCUGCCUCUAGAGAUCAUUGCUCAUAGAAGCAAGCAUGAUGCAUUUGACAAUCACACUAUCAUCUUUUCAUAUCUUAUAUGUAGUCCUUUCCUCCUCAGAAGCAUCUUUCCCAAGAG
rnacentral:lncRNA from 1 species